rnacentral:lncRNA from 1 species
GAUCUUUUGGGAGAUCGCAUUUUAACGUUUGCUAGCUCAGGCACAGUAAGACUGAAGGAUUUCUGUGCCUGGGAGGAUAAUUUUGGACAAGGAGGAGAUGCAUAUUUGCCUCAAAAUAAAUUCCAACUCUUAGUACCAAAUAAGGUCUGGGUUAGGGUGUAGCAGUGAAAUCUACCCGGUUCCCUUCAUAAUGUUGCUUUAAGACAUUUCUCCUCAGCCCAGUUUAGAUACUGGAAAUUAAGAGUUCCUAGCAAGAGGAACACAGCUUAAAGAUCAUGGUGGUGAUGUCUGCACUUUCUGCAUAUCCUUCCUUCAGUCCAACUCAAGAGCCACAACUUGCCCUUUUCAUGAAUAUUGUGACUGGAAUUAUGACAAGAAAAUGUCAACAACAGUAACAACAAAGCCUGCAACCAACUCUUCAUACGGCAGAUCCAGGAAACCCGGAAAGAAAGGAGGGAUGGAGGGAAGACCACUAGGAGAAAAGUGCCUGCAACUGGCAGACGUUCCUGUUUAGCUGCAGAGGAGGUGGACCAGUGGCUCCCACCAGGUUUAUCCACUCAACUGCUUCACAGUUCAGGUUAACCACAAAAACACCCCGCUAACCAAUUGCAAGCGUGAAGCGUCAUGUUUGGACAUUUAUAGAUGUUUC